GGGCUCGUAGUAUAGUGGUAGUACAGUACAUUCGCAUUGUACGGACAGGGGUUCGAUUCCCCUCGAGUCCA
rnacentral:tRNA from 1 species